rnacentral:rRNA from 1 species
GAUGAACGCUGGCGGCGUGCCUAAUACAUGCCAGUCGAGCGAACGGACGAGACGCUUGCUUCUCUGAUGUUAGCGGCGGACGGGUGAGUAACACGUGGAUACCCUACCUAUCAGACUGGGAUAACUUCGGGAAACCGGAGCUAAUACCGGAUAAUAUUUUGAACCGCAUGGUUCAAAAGUGAAAGACGGUCUUGCUGUCACUUAUAGCUGGAUCCGCGCUGCAUUAGCUAGUUGGUAAGGUAACGGCUUACCAAGGCAACGAUGCAUAGCCGACCUGAGAGGGGGAUCGGCCACCCUGGAACGGUGACACGGUCCAUACGCCUACGGGAGGCAGCAGUAGGGAAUCGUCCGCAAUGGGCGAAAGCCUGACGGAGCAAGGCCGCGUGAGUGAUGAAGGUCUUCGGAUCGUAAAACUCUGUUAUUAGGGAAGAACAUAUGUGUAAGUAACUGUGCACAUCUUGACGGUACCUAAUCAGAAAGCCACGGCUAACUACGUG